rnacentral:rRNA from 1 species
UACGAAGGGGGCUAGCGUUGUUCGGAAUUACUGGGCGUAAAGCGCGCGCAGGCGGUUCGAUAAGUUAGGGGUGAAAUCCCCGGGCUCAACCCGGGAAUGGCCUUUAAGACUGUCGGGCUAGAGGACGAGAGAGGUGAGUGGAAUUCCCAGUGUAGAGGUGAAAUUCGUAGAUAUUGGGAAGAACACCGGUGGCGAAGGCGGCUCACUGGCUCGUUUCUGACGCUGAGGCGCGAAAGCGUGGGGAGCAAACAGG